GCAGUGUGAACUGUGAAGAGAAUGCUAUGAGGAUGCAGGGUGACAGACAGGUUGGGUGAGUGGGCAGGUGCAUGGCAGAUGCAGUAUAAAUGUGAGGUUGUCCACUUUUGUUGCAAGAACAGGAAGGCAGAUUAUUAUCUGAAUGGUGUCAGGUUAGGAAAAGGGGAAGUACGAGACCUGGGUGUCCUAGUAUAUUAGCCACUGAAAGUAAGCAUGCAGGUACAGCAAACAGUGAAGAAAGCUCAUGGCAUGUUGGCCUUCAUAACGAGAGAAGUUGAGUAUAGGAGCAAAGUGGUCCUUCUGUAGUUAUACAGGGUCCUGGUGAGACCACACCUGGAGUAUUGUGUGCAGUUUUGGUCGCCUAAUUUGAGGAAGGACAUUCAUGCUAUUGAGAGAGUGCAGCGUAGGUUCACGAGGUUAAUUCCCGGGAUGGCGUAACUGUCAUAUGAUGGAAGAAUGGAACAACUGGGCUUAUAUUCACUGGAAUUUAGAUGAGAGGGGAUCUUAUAGAAACAUGUAAAAUUAUUAAGGGAUUGGACAAGUUAGAUGCAGGAAACAUGUUCCCUAUGUUGGGGGAAUCCAGAACCAGGGGCACAGUUUAAGAAUAAGUGGUAGGCCAUUUAGAACUGAGAUGAGGAAAUAUAUUGUCACAGAGUUGUGAAUUUGUGGAAUUCUCUGCCUUGGAAGGCAGUGGAGGCCAAUUCACUGGAUACAUUCAAAAAAGAGGUAGAUAGAGCUCUCAGGGCUAGUGGCAUCAAGGGGGAGAAGGCAGGCACUGGUUACUGAUUGUGGAUAGUCAGCCAUUAUCACAUUGAAUGGCAUUGCUGGCUCGAAUGGCCUACUCCUGCACGUAUUGUCUAUGUAUCUAUACACACGGUACCAUGUAAAUCUUGGUUCAGGAUUCCUACUGGUGACCUGGGAUAAAGAUUAUUGUUUUGAGUAGUUGCUGUAAAUAGAUAGACAUUGACCACUGCAACUUUGCUGUAUGUACCCAUGUUUCACAUAUAUAUUGAGUAUAAGAGGUUGAAUGUCCUACUCAACUACUCUUCUCCUAAGUCCCCAGCUGUACUUUAGACCUUGAUUAACAGAUACAAAUCAAUACAAAUAGAAAGGGCAUUAUGAUGUCACAGUGGUAGAGUUGCUGCCUUACAGCACCAGUAGACCCUUGUUCGAUCCCGACUACAAGUGCUGUCUGUAUGGGGUUUGUACGCUCUCCCCUUGACCACUUGGGUGUUCUCAGAUAUUCAGUUUCCUCCCACAUUCUAAAGACGUCCAGGUUUGUAGAUUAAUUGACAUGGUAUAAGUGUACACUGUCCUUAGUGUGUGUAGGAUAGUGUUAAUGUGCGGGGAUCGCUGGUGGGCAUGGACUCAAUGGGCCGAAGGGCCUGUUUCUGACCUGUAUCUUUAAACUGAACUAAACGAAGAAUAAGUCAAAGCUUGCUCUUGGGUUCGCACAGGGAUGGAAGGAUGUUAGGAAAACAGUGGAGUCAUUCAUGUGAUAAGAUAUAACUACUAAGAUGUACUGUUCCCAAUAUUGUGCAUCUAGGUCAAUUAACUUCAAUGAUGAGACACCAUAUAUUAAAUGUAGAAUAUUCAUAACACUAAUGAACAAGGAGGAUGUUGUUACUCUCCUGGGAGAUUGUAAUUGUCUGGAAUUAUAGAAAGCAACAUAAAGUCUGCCGCGUUGAUUAAACUACAAGAGACUGAUUUAAAAUACACAGGAUUUACAAAGACUUGGUGGUAUGGAUUCCGAAGUGGCUUACUGAUAGAGGACAGAGGAAUGUGGUGGAAGGACUAUAUUCAGGCUGUGGGUCUGUGACCAGUGGAGAUCUGCAGGGAUCAAUGCUGGAACCGCUGCUUUUUGUGAUAUGUAUAAAUGACAUGGACGUAAACGUAGAUGGAUUGGUUGGCACGUUUGCAGUUCACAGCAAUUUUGCUGGGGUCGCAGACUGUGAGGAAGGCUGUCAAGAUGUAUGCCGAGAUAAGUCAGCUACAAAAAUGGGUGGCAAAUGGCAGAUAGCGCUUAAUCUGAGUAAAUAUCAGGUGUGGCACUUUGGAAAGUUCAAGUCUAAGGGAAAAUGUACAAUUAAUGCAUGACCACCAACAGCGUGGAUUAGAGCGAUUUUGGGGUCCAAGUCCAUAACUCCCUGAAAGUGACAGGGAGAUAGAGUGGUAAAGAAAACAUCUGACAUUCUUGCUUUCAUAGGAAAAUGCAUUGAGUAUAAGAGUCAAGAAAUUAUGAUAAAGCUUUGUUGGACAUUGGUUUGGAUGCGUUACAUGUGGUUCUGGUCGCCCAAGUACAGGAAGGAUGUGGAAACUUUGGAAAGGAUGCAGAAGAGAAUUACCAAGGCGAUACAUGGAUUAGAGGGUAUUAGCUACAGGGAGAGGUUGGACAGACUUGGAUUGUUUUCUCUGGAACUUCAGAGGUUGUGGGGAGACCUGAUAGAAGGAUGUAAAAUUAGGAGAGGCAUAGAUAGGAUAGAGAGUCAAAAUAUUUUUCCUAGGAUUAAAAAAUUAAAUACUUGAGGGCAUAGCUUUAAGAUGAGAGGGCCAAAGUUUAAGGGAGAUGGGUAGGGCAGCAUGUUGAGAACCUGGAAUGCCCUGCCAGAGCUGGUGAUUGAGGCAGAUGCAAUAGUGGCAUUCAAGAUACUUUGGGAUUUGCAGGGAAUAUAGGGAUAUGGAUUAUGUAUAGUAAAUUGAGAGAAGGACAUCAUCAUGUUCAGCAGACAUUGUGGGCUGAAUGACCUCUUCUUAUGCUGUACUAUGUAGUUUUUUGUUUCAUACUAGUUCUAUGUUAUCCUACUUUCUCAACCACCCUGCACAUUAGGACAAUUUUACUGAGACCAAUUAAGUUAUAAACCUACGUGUCUUUAUGAUGUGGGAGGAAACCGAAACACCCCAAGGUCUGAAGAAAGGUCUCGACCCAAAAAGUCACCCAUUCCUGAUCUCCAGAUGUGUUGCUUGUCCCUGCUGAGUUACUACAGCAUUUUGUAUCUACCCUGAGGUAUCCCACAUGGUCAUAGGGAGAGCGUACAAACUCCACAUAAAUAGCACUCGAGUUUAGGAUUGAGUCCGGAACUCUGGCAGCAGCUCGACCAGCAGCACCACUGUGCUGCCCUAAGUUAUUAAUUUGUUAAAAUCUUAAUGAUGAAUCAAGGUCACAAAAGUAAUCUAAUUCAAGCUAGUUCCGUUUUUCUACUCAUCUCUCUACUUCUUAAAUUGUGUUGCCAGACUGGCUAAUGCAAUGAAUUCUGAUGGUUAGAGAAAUAGAAUCAUAGUUAGAGCAUGGAAAUAGGCUGUUUGGCCCAACAUGCCCACACUGACCGACAUGUCCCAGCUACACUUGUUCCACCUGCCUGCGUUUGGCCCAUGUCCCUCCAAACCUGUCCUAUCCAUGUACCCGUCCAAGUUUCUUAAACAUUGCAAUAGUCCCUGCUCAACUACCUCCUCUGCCAGCUUGUUCCAUACAUCCACCACCACCCUUUGUGUGAAAAAGUUACCCCUCAGAUUCCUAUUAAAUGUAUACCCUUUCACCUUAAACCUAUGUCCUCUGGUCCUCGGUUCUCCUACUCUGGGCAAGAGACUAUGUGCAUUUACCUGAUCUAUUCUUCUCAUUAUUUUAUAAUCAUCCAUAAGAUUAAUAUUGUACAGAAACUUUGGAUGGUAAAGAAGCAGGCUGAGUGGGUAUUCUAGGCCGAGUUGCAGCAAGUUGAAGAGUUUUUCUCCAUUCAGACCAGGCAGGAUCUAAAAUGCUUUGUCUUAUUUGAGGCACAUCCCAUAAAACUGUGCACUUCAGGAACUGUAACCCUCAAGGUCACUGGCAGAGGACUGCGGCCGUCUGUCCACCUCCACGGGCAUCAUCCCCGUCUCUCUCCCCCACCCUAAAAAAAACCCACACAAACAGUGCUGGAGAAACGCAGCGGGGUAGGUAGCAGCUCUGGAGGGAAUAGACAGAGGACGUUUCGGUUAGUCCCGUCUUCAAGGAAAAGGGUCUGAGGUUUGAAGAAAGGAGUCGCCGCGACCGGAAUCGUCCCCGUCCAUUCGCUCUACAGAUGACGGGAGUCCGGGGGUUUCUAGUUUGGGGCGGACGGACGUGAGGUGAUCGCUAUGGAAACGCCGGCAUUGCUUCCUGCGGCCUGGGCCCAACAUGGACGCUGCUGCUGCUGUUGUUUGCAGCAAGGCUGCCGUCGCUGUACACAACCAUGCGGACAAGGACACGUUUUUGCGAGAGGUUUACCCACUGAGAAAACCAGCAGUUCUUAAAGGAAUUUACCUGGGUGCAUGCACAUCGAAAUGGACAGUGGAUUACCUGAGCUCGGCUGGAGGGAGCCAAGAGGUCAAAGUCCAUGUUGCUUCAGUACCACAGAUGGAUUUUAUCAACAAAAAUUUUAACUACAGGUUGAGGUAUCGGAAGACUGGAAGAUAGCUAAUAUUGUUUCCACAUUCAAGAAGGAUGAUGUGGAUAUGGAAAGAAACGUUAUGCCGUUGAGCCUUAUGUCAGUAGUUAUGGAACUAUUGAAAAAAAAAUCAGAGAGAUGUCAUAUAUAAUCCAUUUGAAGGUCUGGUUCUGAUCAUGGAAGUCGGCAUAAAUUUGUGCAUGGGAAGUUCUGUCUCGCAAAUCUGUUUGAAUUUUUUGAGGGGGCUAUGAAGAAAAGUGAUGUAGGUAAGGAGGUAUUUGAUAAAUUUGAUCAAGGUUUUUGAUAAACUCUGUGUAGUCAGUCAGCUCAUUGAGUAAAGUAAGGGCACCUGAGAUCCAAUAUAUUUAGGCAAACUGGGUACAAAAUUGUCUAGUUAAUAAGGCAGUGGGUAGUUAGUGAUGCAUGGUUGUUUUUCUGACUGGAAGUCUAACCGUUGAUUUAUCACAAGUGUUGGGGCCUUUGUUGGACACAAUUCUUCAAUUCUAACUCGAAACAUCACCUUCCAUUUUCUCCAGAGAUGCUGCCUGACCCACUGAUUUACUCUAGGAUUAAACUGGACUCACUGAAUGUCCCUAUCCAGCUAUCCAGCAAGCUAAACAAUUGAUCCAAUAAAGACCAGUAGAGACGAGCUGUCGUUUAAUGCUUUACUGUAUUCAAAUGUGAAACUGCAACAUAUAAGCACAAAAAGAAACAACAUAGGGUUUAGUUACGUUAUACGUUUACUAUAGGAACCUAAAUGAGGAUGCCACCACCAAACACAGUGGUGGUAUGCAAGGCACCAGCGGUGGUAUACAUUAAACCUCUUAAACUUUGUUAAUAAUAACAAUCCUGCUCAAUAACAUUCAUCAUAUCAUCUAUCUAUCUAUCUAUCUA